rnacentral:rRNA from 1 species
UACGAAGGGGACUAGCGUUGUUCGGAAUUACUGGGCGUAAAGCGCACGUAGGCGGAUUUGUUAGUCAGGGGUGAAAUCCCGGGGCUCAACCUCGGAACUGCCUUUGAUACUGCAAGUCUCGAGUCCGAUAGAGGUGGGUGGAAUUCCUAGUGUAGAGGUGAAAUUCGUAGAUAUUAGGAAGAACACCAGUGGCGAAGGCGACUCACUGGCCCGAUACCGACGCUGAGGCGCGAAAGCGUGGGGAGCAAACAGG